rnacentral:rRNA from 1 species
AUUGAACGCUGGCGGCGUGCCUAACACAUGCAAGUCGAGCGGUAACAGGUGUAGCAAUACAUGCUGACGAGCGGCGGACGGGUGAGUAACGCUUGGGAAUCUGCCUGUUAGUGGGGGACAACCCGGGGAAACUCGGGCUAAUACCGCAUACGCACUACGGUGGAAAGCCGGGGACCGCAAGGCCUGGCGCUAACAGAUGAGCCCAAGUCGGAUUAGCUAGUUGGUAGGGUAACGGCCACCAAGGCGACGAUCCGUAACUGGUCUGAGAGGACGACCAGUCACACCGGAACUGAGACACGGUCCGGACUCCUACGGGAGGCAGCAGUGGGGAAUAUUGGACAAUGGGCGAAAGCCUGAUCCAGCGACGCCGCGUGGGUGAAGAAGGCCUGCGGGUUGUAAAGCCC